rnacentral:lncRNA from 1 species
UCAUGUUUUUAUUGCAGAAAAUUUUCAAAGUAUGUUUAGCCAUCGAUUGACGAUCAUAGCAUUUUGGGAAACUUUCAUAUUUUUUUUGAAUAUUCUCCCAUUUAUAUAAAAUCUAAAUUUUGGAAGCUUUUUGCUAUAAUUAAGAUCUAUAAAUAUUUUAUUUGGAUGUCCCAAUCUAGAUUUAUGAUUUAUUUCUCUGAAUUUUUAGAAGAAUAUAUGCUCAUGCGUUGCACCAGAGGUCAUGAAUUUUCCCCACAGCUAAUGUGAUGGUUUUGAUCAUUUAAAAAAUCACAAAAUAACAAAAAAGCUAACAAAUGUUGCGAACCUUAAACUAUUUUGAAAUUCAUUGAGACCUUAUUUUUUUCCUCUCUUCUCUUUCGUUAUUUAUCAACACGUCAGCCUAGUUACAUGGGAAGGCCCAUGAAGCAAGGGAAAGCAAAAAUAUUUCACAAGAAAAAAUUAUACUACAAUAUUUAUAUAUUUAGUGACAGGUUAUUGUGCCUGCUUGUGGGGUGGUUGUUCCAAGAUUUCUUAGCAGAGGUCGAUUAUAUGGACCUAGGGAGGUAAUUUUAAUAUUUUUUGAGAGUUUAGGCAAUAAGUUUGAAUAGUUUUGAAGUUAGAGAAGGAAAAAUUAUACCAUGAUAAUAAUUAAUAAAGGUAAAAUGAUUUUUUCCCAAAUUGUAGGAUGCGUUAAUAUGGGCCGGGUUGCUAUUGGAUCUGUUGACAAUUUUGCAAACCUCACAACUGGCCUUUGAAUUUCUGAAUUCUUAUCACGAAUUCACGAUUAUUGGAGCCAUGGCGCAUGGGAUCUAAGGGCCUGCUUGGUACCUUCGCUCAGUACUAUAUAGCCUUGUCUAGCUAGCAAGGAUUUGCAAUAGAUGGUUUAUUUGGUUAUAAUUGGUAAGGACACCUUGAUUUGUAUGCUGGCACGAAUUUUCUUGCUGGUGUGACAGAGCUAAUUUGGCUAUCUCGGGUGGGCAAGUUCCUUGUUGUUUGUGUCGACUAAGCAAGAAGAGCUAGCAAAGCUACCAGGGGGUCUUGGGGUCCGGCCGUUCAGACCAGAUCCUAGCGCCGAUGAUUCUUUCCCGCCUAAACUCGGCUCAUUUCCCGCGCUCGCAGAUUCCGCCCGCAGCAGACAGCAGGGUGCACAGGAGGAUCUUGCGCCAGAAAAUUUGCGCCACCUCAUCUAGAACACGCAUGCUAACUAAAAAAUAUCAUAAGUGUUAAAUAAAAUAUCCAAAAAUAAAUUACGAUUACACCAUUGAAUUUCUUACAAUAAAUCCUUUAAAAUAAGAUCCCACAUGAAUAUAUUUCAGUAAUUUUUUUAACGAACAUUUAUCUAAUGAAGAUAUAACAUUUUUCUUUUAUUAAGCAAAGUCAAUGUUCUAGAUUUAAAGAACAAUGUUUUGUCUCUAUAAGAAGAAUGUUCAUAAUUUAGAUUCAUGAAAUAGAAUUACAAUAUACAUAAAAAAAUACAUAUAUAAAUAAAUAAAUUGAUACUAUAAUUAAACACUUAAUAGAGAAAAAAAUAAAAUAAUAGCACAUGUGUACUUUUUAAAAAUCCUAAUAUAUAUAGUAUAAAAAAUCAUGUGUAUACUAAGUAAACACUACUAAAUACACUAUAAAAUAAAAAAUGAAAUAGUAUAAAACAUAUAUACCACAUAAACAUCACAGAAUACAUCAUAGAACAUUAUUAUAGACUACGUGAACAUCACUUAUAUACUAGAAGAACAUUAUAAAAUAUAUCAUAUAAUACCAUAUGGACAUAAAAAACAUAGAACAUCACAUUUACGACAUGUGAACAUCAUAGAAAGUAUUAUAGAACAUCACAUACAUACUAAUACUAUAUGAACAUUACAAAAAAAACAUCAUAGAACAUGAAAUUAUAUACAUGCGAACAUCAUAAAAACACAUCGUAGAACAUCACAUCUAUAUACUAUAUGACGUAACAUCUCAUAUAAUAUAAAAAAUAAAAAAAAUAAAUUAAAAAUAAUUUUAUAUUAAUAAUAAUAAUAAUAUAAAAAAUAAAAAAAGCAAAGAAGAGAAAACAUACAUAAAACAUGAAUAACAAAUGAUAAAUAUAUAGGAAAAUAAAAAAUAAAUAUGAACAUGAAAAGUAAAAAAAUUAAGUAGAGUAAAAGAACACAGAAUAGAAAAUAAGAAAAUAAAAAGAAAAUAAAUAUAAGAAAUAAAAAAAGAAACUAGUAUAACAACCUACUAGGAGUUAAUUAAGAAGAAAAUAAGUAGAAAAAAAUACUAACUACCUAUUUCGAGAGAAGAAAAGAAACAUAUACGACGGGAAAAAUUAAUUGAAAUAAUAAAAUAAAAUAAAAAAUAAAUUGAAGCAGAAAAAAGGAAUAGAAAAAUAUAGAAAGAAAAUAAAAAGGUAAAAAAUAAAUAUAAAAUAAACAUAAUAAAAUAAAAAUAAGAUAAACAAAAAAAGUAAAAGUAAAAUUAAAUUGAAGCUAUAAAAACAAAAUAAGAAAAAAAAAGAAAAGAAACAAAAAAAUAAAGAAAAUAAAAAUACCAAGAAAAAAGGAAAAGAAACAUAAAGAAAAAGAAAAAAAGAAAACUAGACAACAGCGAAUGAGAGGGACAAAAUAAUAAAGAAAAAGAAAAGAAGAUAAAUUAAGAAAAAAGAAAAAAAUAGGAAACAAAAAGGAAAACAUACGCACUUACCUGGGGAUGAAAACCGUUGCUCGUGCAUGCGAGUAGCAGCUGCUCGUGUCCACGCACGGCAACAUCGCACGGGAAUCAUCGGACCGAGGCUCCCGUCCGAACGUUCGUAGGGGAAGAGUCCCGAAGCUACCAAGCCUGGCGAGGCUGGCCUUGCCCGUCUAGGCGAGCCAAUUUAGGCCUUGUUCAGUUUUUAAAAAAUUUCAAGAUUCUCCGUCACAUCGAAUCUCUAGACGCAUAUAAAGAGCAUUAAAUAUAGAUAAAAGAAAUAAUUAGUUGUUCAGUUUAUCUGUAUUUUGCGAGACGAAUCCUUUGAGCCUAGUUAGUCCUUAAUUGGACAAUAAUUACUAAAUAUAAACGAAAAUGCUAGAGUACUUAAAACCAAAAAAUUUCUCCAUCUGAACAAGCAAGUAAAAGCUAGCGUGCUCAGAAAACAAGAUAGUAAAGCAAGGUAUCCAAACACAUUCUUGUCUUCCAUUCCUCGCUGAGCGAGGUAAGGCAAGGUUUGGUUGAAAAACCAAGCACGCCCUAUAUCGUCAAACAAGUCGGCCCAUCAAGCUGGAACAAGCCGGAAAUCAGGUGCCUAUGUCGAUUGUUUUUGUUCACGAGGAAACAUGGGCUGCUGACACAGGCUUUCCAAAAGGGAAAAAGGUUUUUUCCUGCUCUGAUAACAUUUUUAACAAAAACAGAAACACUGGUGACAACGAUGUGCUACCUUCACGGGGGGAGAUGGACUUGCCCUGGUGCCCUGCACAUGCACGAGUAUUGUAAUGUAUUGCUCCAGAAAGAACACCUCACCUUGCAUUUCGUUGAUGCCUAGCUGAAGACUGCAGAGGCACCUCAAGCCUGAAAUGCUCCUCGUUCAGCGUUCACUGAUGUUAAGCUCUGUCAGCUUCCAACGACAGAGCCACAGAGGAGUUCUUCCUGCCCAUCGAAGCUCCAUCCCCUUCCAGCUGAUCAGCUGGUGUAUGCGGCAGCGGCACAUGCACACUGCAACAUGACCUCGACGGAGUUCACCACCAGUGGCGCGCCAUUGGCUCGCCGUCGUUCUCCGAUACAGCAUCAGAUCUUCGCAUGCUGACACGGGGUGGCGGCCGCUGGUUGGUAGGAACCGGCAGACAGCAUAGAAUUGGACGGCCGCACGGCCUAGAAGGCU